rnacentral:lncRNA from 1 species
GUCAGUGCAGCGGCAGUGACACUGGUGGUGGACUCGGUAAGCUUAUAACAAGAGAACGAUUUGAUAAGAUGCUUUUGCAUAGGAACGAUGGGGGUUGUCCUGCCCGUGGCUUCUACACCUAUGAUGCUUUCAUAGCUGCUGCAAAGUCUUUUCCUGCCUUCGCUGCAAGUGGUGAUGAUGCCACUCGCAAGAGGGAAAUUGCUGCUUUCUUGGCCCAAACUUCCCACGAAACAACUGGUUAGUCUAUUUUGAAAGUAAUUAAAUACAAAGUUUACCAUCUUUUACACAUGACUCUGCAAACAAUUCUCAGAAAACAUUUCGUUACUAUCAUUUUUUAUGCUGUAGGUGGGGCGGGAUGGGCUGCACCCGAUGGUCCAUAUGCGUGGGGAUACUGCUACAAUAGAGAAUUAAACCCCGGUUCAUCUUACUGCGCUUGGGAUCCAAACUACCCUUGUGCUCCUGGUCGGCAAUAUUUUGGCCGGGGUCCAAUGCAGCUUUCUUGGUAACUGCAUGACCUUUCACCCUUCAUCUUUACAUAUUUAUGGUAGCACAAGUGUGUUCCGUUGACAAUAUUGGAAUUAAUUAACUUCAAUGUUUCAGGAACUACAAUUACGGUCAGUGCGGACGAGCCAUAGGGGUGGACCUGUUAAACAACCCAGACCUUCUAUCAAGUGAUCCUACAAUUUCCUUCAAAUCAGCAUUCUGGUUCUGGAUGACUCCACAAUCGCCAAAGCCUUCUUGCC